GGAGGGGUAUCGAAGCCUGGUCAACCGAGAAGGACUCAAGAUCAUCGUAUAAGAUAUCCUUUCUCUUAGGAGUUCGUGGGUUCGAAUCCCACCCCCUCCA
rfam:Candidatus Nitrosopelagicus brevis strain CN25, complete genome.